GGUGUUUGAGGUGCCAAAUUUUGGGAUGUUUGAAAUUAAUUUUCUGUGGUCUUUUUUGUGCUGCAAUGACAAUUAGCAAGAUAUAUUGAGAGAACCCUUUCCCUGUUGUUAGUUUGUACACUUUUCUUAGUUUCUAAAUUUUUGGAUGCUUAUUAAAUCUACAAAAUAGUUUAUAUACUCUGAUGGAACUUGUUGAAAUGAGUGUGAAUACCACCCUUUUCAAUAAAAAUAAAAAAAAACUGGAAAAAUUAAUAUUAACUUGUCUUUGGUGGUGACAGAAAUUCAAAUAAUGGUGGUAAACUCAAAUUCAAGAUUUUUUGUAAAAACAUUGUUGGGUUGUCAAGCACUUGCAAUGAGUGAACUUUACAACUUUGCAUACACACAAAAAAUGGUACUACUAUUUAGCAUAAAAUCAAAGAAUUUUGCAUGAUCAUGGUGAGUUUGCAUCACAUCACUUUGGUGAUGAAAGCUAUAUUGAACAUCAAAGUAAGCACAUGUAAAAAAAUUAUAGUGGACACGUGGUUAAGUCUUUUGUUCGUUCGGCUUUGACUUGGGCAUUGGUAAAUUAGACGUAAAUUACAUUGUAAAUUUUCAACAAAAUGUACUUUAGUCAAAAAGAAAGAAAAAUGUACAUUAGUCAACUUGCGGGACACAUAAGAGUUUUUUUCUCCUAUCGAAUGUUUCAUUUAAAUGAUCAGCUCAAUUUUUU
rnacentral:lncRNA from 1 species